CUGAUUUUUUAGGUAGCUGUUCCAUGUGAGGAUGAUUACCAGAAGCUUAAAAAAUCCUUCGGCAUCACAUCUGAUCAGAACAAUCUGAUUCUUUCAAAGAGUUAUUCAAUAAAGACGUGGUUAGUUGGGGAUGGAUUGAAAGAAGAGGACGAAAAGAAGGCAGCAGAAGGAACAUUAUUAAUUCCCUUCUCGCAAUUUCCCCCAAAGAAAUUGCGCAAGGAUUGCUUCUAUCACAGCAUACCAGCAAUGGCAGCCCCUGCAUCUCUUGAAAAUGUGGACUCUUGCGAGAAUUGGUUGCCAAGAAGAGUGCCCACUUAUCAUCCCAAUACUACUAAAUUGACUGCACAUUGAUAUGUUUUUUCGUGGAAAGAUAUGCUUAGCCCGAUAAACACUGCGGGGCAUACCAUUGGUUGGUUAUAAGGCAUCAGAUUUAUUUCGGCCUGCGGGACAGACGACCUGAUCAAUUUUUCAAAGCAUUGUAUUCAAUUGCUAGCAAGUCAAGCUGACCGUCGACCCAUCCCUGGGGUUAAGGCUUGGAAUUUGGAACCAGUAAGAACUUGCUCCUGUGCUGUAAAUGGGUGCGGGAAAGCUAUCCCUUUCUGUAUCAUUUUUAAGUGGUGAUCAUUGCGAGCGUAGUGAUGGUUAUUUUUUUUCGUGGAAAUAUAUGCUUAGCCUGAGAAACACUGCGGGGCAUACCAUUGGUUGGUUAUUAGGCAUCAAAUCAAUUUUUCAAAACAUAAAAUUCAAUUGCUAGCAAGUCAAGCUGACCGUCGACCCAUCCUUGGGGUUAAGGCUUGGAAGUUGGAACCAGUAAGAGCUUGCUCCUGUGCUGUAAUUGGGUGCGGGAAUGUUGUCCCUUUCUGUAUCAUUUUCAAGAGGAGUGUUUGGAGUGGAAUAGUGAUUAUUUUUUAAAAUAUUUUUUUAUUUAAAAAUAUUUCGAAAACAAACAGGAAUGUGGUUGUUUUAUUAUUAAUAUUGUUAGAGUAAGGUAUUCUGAAGAGCUUUCAU